rnacentral:rRNA from 1 species
UACGAAGGGGGGCAUAGCGGUUGUUUCGGUGAUUUACAUGGGCGUAAAGGGCGCGUGAGGCGGUCGUGAACAAGUCAGCUUUGUGAAAUCUCCGGGCUUAACUCGGAACGGUCAAGUGAUACUGUCGGACUAGAGUACAGAAGGGCAACUGGAAUUCUCGGUGUACGCGGUGAAAGUGGCGUAGAUAUCGAGAGGAACACCUGCGGCGAAGGCGGGUUGCUGGGGCUGAUACUGACGCUGAGGCGACGAAAGCCCAGGGGAGCGAACGGG